UACGUAGGUGGCAAGCGUUGUCCGGAUUUACUGGGCGUAAAGAGCGCGCAGGCGGUCGUACAAGUCGCGUGUGAAAGCCCCCGGCUCAACUGGGGAGGGUCACGCGAUACUGUUCGACUUGAAGGCAGGAGAGGGCAGCAGAAUUCCCGGUGUAGUGGUGAAAUGCGUAGAUAUCGGGAGGAAUACCAGUGGCGAAGGCGGCUGCCUGGCCUGUUCUUGACGCUGAGGCGCGAAAGCUGGGGGAGCAAACGGGG
rnacentral:rRNA from 1 species